CGCCGGGCCGCACCUGCCCCGCAGCACAGCCAGGGCCCGCUCAGCCCCCCGACGACCAGGGGGAACCCGGGGCGACCACCGGGAAUCUUCUGCAGCCUAAGGGAGCCCUGCAAGCCCCGGCUGCCCGCGCAUCCCCCACCCCCACUCGCCGAGUUUCUCCGAGCGCUGGGGAAGGAGGAGGUGGCGGCCGGGCGCCCAGCGCUGGGCGAGGCACCCACCGCAGGAGCUUCGCUCCCACACCGCAGCCCUCCCAGGGCUACCUGGAGCAGACGGUCCCACCCCAUCCUCUCGUGUCCACCUCCCCUCCACUGGGAAGCUCGGCUGCACCCGGGGCGCAACCUCAGCAACUUUCCCCAGGGCCCACCGUCGCGCCGGGGGUGGGCUGGGGGCCCGGGGAGGUCCUCAGCCGCCCACGGAGCCGCCAGCGGAAGCGCCUCUUACCGUUCCUUCGGCGUCCAGGCUCCCCUUGGGCGAACUGACAGCAGUCCAUCAGAAAGUGGCAAAGUAGCACAACUCCCGCCGCAGCCAGGUCGGCCCUGGGGAACCGCGCCAUGUCGCCGCCGCCGCCGCCCCUCGCCCCCGUCCCCUCUGCCCGGCCUUCCUCGAGCCCCGCGCUCCCGGGCUCCGGGUGCGGACUGGGGCCAGGCGGGGAGCGCCGCAGAUCAGUCUCGGCGGGACCCGGAGGCCUCCGUACACGUCGCCCCGAUUUCACGCCCGAGCGCCGGGGACCGCAGGAAGGGAUGCGAGGCGGAGCGCAGCCCUCUCCGGACCCCUGGGGGUCUCCUUGCAACUUGCAGACCUCGUCGCCGCGCCCCGCGCAGGAAACAACCGCGGGGCGACGGGGCCACUCGCGGCCGGGGCUGCAAACUCUCGGCUCCGCACGGGCAGCGCCGCUCCGGCGCCCGCAGACGGCGGCUUCCUAGCGCCCGCGACGCGCUCCGCUGGGCUCCGAGCAGAGCGGAUUCCACAGCCAGCGCCGCGGCAGGCUCCAAAUCCAAGGGCGCUGUGGGUUCGGAGGAACUUUCCCCGGCCCUGGGAAGGCCCGGAGGGAGACCUGGAAAGGACAGCCGCGCCCCGGGAGUUCAGAGGCGGAGGAGGAACGGCCGCCGAGGCGCUCCCGCACCAUGCUCUGAGGAGGGAGGCGGCGCGCCCUCCCCCUCGGGCUUCCGGGCUGCUCCCACCUGCCUCCAGAAUCUCGCCCUAGGCACCGACUUGUCCAAAGGCAGAGGAAUCGCUGACGGAUGCCGGUGCGUCCCCGUGUCUAGCUCCCACCCUCGACAGCCCCCUGGGGGCCCAGCGCCCACCUGA
rnacentral:lncRNA from 1 species